AUUGAACGCUGGCGGCAGGCCUAACACAUGCAAGUCGAGCGAGCGGCGGACGGGUGAGUAAUGUAUGGGAAACUGACUGAUAGAGGGGGAUAACUACUGGAAACGGUGGCUAAUACCGCAUACUAUCAGAUGAGACCAUAUGGGAUUAGCUAGUUGGUGGGGUAACGGCUCACCAAGGCGACGAUCUCUAGCUGGUCGGAGAGGAUGACAAGCCACACUGGAACUGAGACACGGCCCAGACUCCUACGGGAGGCAGCAGUGGGGAAUAUUGCACAAUGGGCGCAAGCCUGAUGCAGCCAUGCCGCGUGUAUGAAGAAGGCCUUAGGGUUGUAAAGUACUUUCAGCGGGGAGGCGUUACCCGCAGAAGAAGCACCGGCUAACUCCGUGCCAGCAGCCGCGGUAAUUC
rnacentral:rRNA from 1 species